UAGCUAAGACUGAUGACAUCUUUCAUACCCACAUCUGAAUUAAGAUGAGGAAUUAUUUGUACAUGCAUCACCAACUGAUUGAAUAA
rfam:Stomoxys calcitrans breed 8C7A2A5H3J4 unplaced genomic scaffold Scaffold509, whole genome shotgun sequence.